GUUGUUCCAGGGACAACUGCCUAAAGUUGUUCCAGGUCCAACAACUCUGUUAACCAAUCGCUGCUAUGUGAUGUCAUCAAUGUGCGACUUCACCCCCUGUUCAAAAUUUCCCUCCCGAAAUCAACAUCUUUCCAGCUCUGUGUAGGGACGCAAAAAAAGAGUGUGCCUGCUAUCGUAAAAGCUUUACCCAAAAAGAAAAAAAACAAGGACAACAAUAUUCAGCGCCCUGUCAGAGCAGGAAGCAAAGGAGCUGGCCAAUGGUUUUGCCACUAGACUGGCAUUGGAUGUUACUGCUGACAGACACAGUCUGUGACGGAGUGGAUGCUGCAUGUGCUGAUGAAGACACUUCAGAAAUUACAAAUCAACCUGAAAGCAGCCUUGACGGAAUCAUCAAUUUGGAUCUCCAGCUUUGGAUGCUACUAUGUCUUUUCUUAUUGACAAGCUGGACAGGGUUGGCAAAUGAAAGGCACUAGUUGUCCUUUUAGUUGUGUUUUUUGUUGUAAAGCCACAUUGUUUUUUGUCUUAAAACCCCCAG